GAUGAACGCUGGCGGCGUGCCUAAUACAUGCAAGUCGAGCGAACAGACGAGGAGCUUGCUCCUCUGACGUUAGCGGCGGACGGGUGAGUAACACGUGGAUAACCUACCUAUAAGACUGGGAUAACUUCGGGAAACCGGAGCUAAUACCGGAUAAUAUAUUGAACCGCAUGGUUCAAUAGUGAAAGACGGUUUUGCUGUCACUUAUAGAUGGAUCCGCGCCGCAUUAGCUAGUUGGUAAGGUAACGGCUUACCAAUGCAACGAUGCGUAGCCGACCUGAGAGGGUGAUCGGCCACACUGGAACUGAGACACGGUCCAGACUCCUACGGGAGGCAGCAGUAGGGAAUCUUCCGCAAUGGGCGAAAGCUUGACGGAGCAACGCCGCGUGAGUGAUGAAGGUCUUCGGAUCGUAAAACUCUGUUAUUAGGGAAGAACAAAUGUGUAAGUAACUAUGCACGUCUUGACGGUACCUAAUCAGAAAGCCACGGCUAACUACGUG
rnacentral:rRNA from 1 species